AAAACUUUCAACAACGGAUCUCUUGGUUCUGGCAUCGAUGAAGAACGCAGCGAAAUGCGAUAAGUAAUGUGAAUUGCAGAAUUUAGUGAAUCAUCGAAUCUUUGAACGCACAUUGCGCCCCUCGGUAUUCCGGGGGGCCUGCCUGCUCGAGCGUCAUUA
rnacentral:rRNA from 1 species